GAGGCGCUGAUCACGCAUACAUUAAACUCUACUUGUUGUCUUCCCGUAUCUCCGCCUCCAAAGGGAGAUCUGGUUUCACGGACGCCUUCGACGAGCGACAGAACGAAGCGCAGCUGCUCUGUGAUAAGGUCAUGUCGUCGCUGACGACGUCAUCUGGUCUCCUUCCCUCGCGGGCGGAGUACCCGAUUAUCGGCUGCGUGGAAUUAGGCCAAAGAACAGUUUCCUCUGGAGAUGGACGAUUUUUUCCUCAAAAAUUCUCAAGCUGCAGCGUCUCAGGAAGACAAGGGUCGGGAGGGUCAUGAAAACACAUGAAAUAUAAAUCAGGGAAUGGCGAAGAAGAGAGCAGGUUGUCUUAACAACGCAGAUGCUAGCAGAACACCAACAAAUGAGAGAUGAAGAGGAGAUUUAAUGUAAACUAAUAAGAUACACGAUGAGCAGAUGAGAAGCCGUAAGAUGGCCCCUCUUUGCCUCAACUGUUGAUAAUGUUUUUAUUAUUAUGAAAUCUAUCUUUAAAUGACUUCCUGUACUUUUGGCUGUGACGACAGAAUUUUUCGUAUGUGAUAAAUAAAGUACCAAAUUAUCGUGUAUAAACGACCCCCAACGGGAAAUUCAAAUGAAGGAGAAAGUGUUGUCACAUUGACAAUUAUUCUGUUGGCGUCAUACAGUUGCCAUGGAGAGGUCAGAGUUCAACGAGGGCAUCUGACCUAGCCACAACCAAUGAGGUGCACCGAUGCAAGCGGUUGAAAAACUCUGUCUCACUCUGCGUCUCCCGUGAUUGGCCACGCCCCCUCUCCCUUAAACCCUCUCUGUCAUGGCCGCCGUGCUCCUGGGAGUGGAGGCCUAGGUAAUUUUGGUCCCCCAGAACAGAAGAGAGACUGGCAGCAUUUAAGGAGUCCAGAGGAGGUGUGUUUAUUCCCCUGAAACCGCCACCGGGCCAGUCGGGUUGCCAGAUUUCACCACUCAGUAGUGAGGUGUCUUUGGUUUAGUAGUGAGGUGUCUUUGGUUUAGUAGUGAGGUGUCUUUGGUUUAGUAGUGAGGUGUCUGUUGUGCAGUAUUGAGACGUCUGUUUUGGAGUAGUGAGGUGUCUGUAUUGAUGUUGUGAGGUGUCUGUACUGCAGUAGUGAGGUGUCUGUACUGCAGUAGUGAGGUGUCGGUACUGCAGUAGUGAGGUGUCAGUACUGCAGUAGUGAGGUGUCAGUACUGCAGUAGUGAGGUGUCUGUACUGCAGUAGUGAGCUGUCUGUACUGCAGUAGUGAGGUGUCAGUACUGCAGUAGUGAGGUGUCUGUACUGCAGUAGUGAGGUUGCCUGAUGGACAUGAUGGUGAUGAUUGAUAUAAACACCAAAAGCUUCCCUGUAGUCUAUGAG
ensembl:lncRNA